rnacentral:rRNA from 1 species
AUGGCGCCAGCAGGCCGCGACGGCGAGAACACAAGAUUCCCGUUCCUAGCGACGGUGCGGUCAUUGGUGACCAUCGUGGUCACCGUGCUCGCCGUUUCCGUAGUGGUGAUGGUCAUCGUGGUCGUCCACCGCCCAGUGGACAUGGGCUUCCAGAGCUACGGCUAUGUGUUGACGGAGAAGCCGUGGUGGAUACAGCAUAGCACCACCACGGCCUGGCCGGCGACGGCGGUGGACUACCUGAUCGUCGUCAAGGCCCUGAACCCAAGCGGGCGCGGCCAGAUCCAUGGCAGCAUCAACGUGGUCCGCCUCCUGGACGUCCCCAACGCAUCCUUCGCGGGGAUGGUGGACCUCGGGUGGUUCAAGCCCGAGUCGGGCCCCUUCGACCUGCCGCCGCACAGCAAGCACAGAUACAGGGACUGGAGGCACAUCGACGAUCAACCAACGCUGCAGUACCUCUACGACAAGCACGGCCAUGAAGACGCCGGGUUCACCGUGAUGGUGGUGGUGGACGCCACCUACAGGCCGGCGCAUUCCAAGAAGAGCAUCGACGCGGCCUAUUAUUGCUGGCCGGUGACAUUCAUCCGCAUCGACGCCACCAACACUCCGGCGGCCGACAACGUCGAUUGCAAGACGGCCCAAGAGAUGGGCGUCGAGCUCAAAUGGGAGAAGCCGCCGCCAGCUACUAGUACUUGA